GUUCCGUGCCCGCCGCCGCCGCCGCCGUCCCCCCGCGCCCCGCAGCGCCAUGUGCCGCCGAGCCCCCCGCUCCCGCUACCGGCCCCGCUCCCCACCCCGGCGCCGUAAGGGCGGAACGCGGCGCAGUCGCCGUCGCGGGCGGCACCGUACGAUGCGGCGGCGGAGAGGCGUCCGCGUCUCGACGGUGUAUUACUACCGGAGGGGCCGCUGCAGCGGAGGAUUUUGAGCACAACCCCGGGGACGCCGCGGCUCCGGUGCCAUAAAUGCCAUCUUCACCGCA